GAUGAACGCUAGCGGCAGGCUUAAUACAUGCAAGUCGAGGGACAGCACAGGUAGCAAUACUGGGUGGUAACCGGCAAACGGGUGCGGAACACGUACACAACCUUCCUUUAAGUGGGGGAUAGCCCAGAGAAAUUUGGAUUAAUACCCCGUAAUAUAGUUGAAUGGCAUCAUUUGAUUAUUAUAGCUACGGCGCUUAAUGAUGGGUGUGCGGCUGAUUAGAUAGUUGGCGGGGUAACGGCCCACCAAGUCUACGAUCAGUAGCUGAUGUGAGAGCAGGACCAGCCAAACGGGCACUGAGCCACGGGCCCGACUCAUACGGGAGGCAGCAGUAAGGAAUAUUGGCCAAUGGACGCAAGUCUGAACCAGCCAUGCCGCGUGAAGGAUUAAGGUCCUCUGGAUUGUAAACUUCUUUUAUUUGGGACGAAAAAGGGCCUUUCUAGGUCAACUGACGGUACCAGAUGAAUAAGCACCGGCUAACUCCGUGCCAGCCGCCGCCGUAACAC
rnacentral:rRNA from 1 species